GGGGGUGUAGCUCAGUUGGCUAGAGCGUUUGAAUGGCAUUCAAGAGGUCGCGGGUUCAAUUCCCACCACCUCCA
rnacentral:tRNA from 1 species